AUUCCUACGGGAGGCAGCAGUGGGGAAUAUUGCACAAUGGAGGAAACUCUGAUGCAGCGACGCCGCGUGAAUGAUGAAGGCCUUCGGGUCGUAAAGUUCUGUCCUUGGGGAAGAUAAUGACGGUACCCAAGGAGGAAGCCCCGGCUAACUACGUGCCAGCAGCCGCGGUAAUACGUAGGGGGCGAGCGUUGUCCGGAAUUAUUGGGCGUAAAGGGUUCGCAGGCGGUCUGAUAAGUCAGAUGUGAAAGGCUAUGGCUUAACCAUAGUAAGCAUUUGAAACUGUCAGACUUGAGUUAAGGAGAGGAAAGUGGAAUUCCUAGUGUAGCGGUGAAAUGCGUAGAUAUUAGGAGGAAUACCAGUGGCGAAGGCGACUUUCUGGACUUAAACUGACGCUGAGGAACGAAAGCGUGGGGAGCAAACAGGAUUAGAUACCCUGGUAGUCCACGCCGUAAACGAUGAGUGCUAGGUGUUGGGGGUCAAACCUCGGUGCCGCAGCUAACGCAUUAAGCACUCCGCCUGGGGAGUACGUACGCAAGUAUGAAACUCAAAGGAAUUGACGGAAU
rnacentral:rRNA from 1 species